ensembl:lncRNA
AUCUGCCACAGCGAAACGACGAGGAAGUAGAUAGAGGAGCCAAAAAAAGACAGAAGGUGGAAGAAGAGCCGGAGCAAAACAAUAGAAGCAAAGACAUGGAGACAUAUAGAUAUCGAAGAAUAUCAAAGAGGGUGAUGCAAAAGUGGAAGGAGAGGUUUCGGAAACUGUGACGCUGUGCUUUGUCAGCGCAGGGUGCAACACAGGGAGAAGGCCACAUCUGGAGUCCUCAACUGCAUGCAUUAUUUCAUCAUCAUGCAGAAAAUGGUGACCAUGCAAGUGGGAUUUCAGUUUGGGAAACAGAAGUCAGACGGUGCAGGUCGGGGCUGGCAUGCUUGGUUGUCCAGGUGAUGGCUACCAUGGAGACAGAGGGCCUGACCGGUCUUGGCCCACUCUAUUACACCAACUGUGCCAACUUACCGUCAACUGGACACUAAACGACGGCGACACGUACGCCCCUCUCCUCUGCUGUGUACUGUGGGCACAUGUGCUCAAACCUGAG